UACGGGGGGGGCAAGCGUUGUCCGGAAUUAUUGGGCGUAAAGAGCUCGUAGGCGGUCUGUCGCGUCGGCUGUGAAAACUCGGGGCUCAACUCCGAGCUUGCAGUCGAUACGGGCAGGCUAGAGUUCGGCAGGGGAGACUGGAAUUCCUGGUGUAGCGGUGAAAUGCGCAGAUAUCAGGAGGAACACCGGUGGCGAAAGCGGGUCUCUGGGCCGAUACUGACGCUGAGGAGCGAAAGCGUGGGGAGCGAACAGG
rnacentral:rRNA from 1 species